rnacentral:misc_RNA from 1 species
AAAGUCGUAACAAGGUUUCCGUAGGUGAACCUGCGGAAGGAUCAUUACUGAUUUAGCGGACCGAGCGUUAGCGAGGUUCUGCGAUCAUCUAUAUUUAAAACCCACUCUUGAAUGUUAUAAAAUUUAUGUAUUAAUGAUAAAAUAAAAGAUCACUUUCAACAACGGAUCUCUUGGCUCUC